AACAGGAUUAGAUACCCUGGUAGUCCACGCCCUAAACGAUGUCUACUAGUUGUCGGGUCUUAAUUGACUUGGUAACGCAGCUAACGCGUGAAGUGGACCGCCUGGGGAGUACGGUCGCAAGAUUAAAACUCAAAGGAAUUGACGGGGACCCGCACAAGCGGUGGAUGAUGUGGAUUAAUUCGAUGCAACGCGAAAAACCUUACCUACCCUUGACAUGGCUGGAAUCCCUGAGAGAUUUGGGAGUGCUCGAAAGAGAACCAGUACACAGGUGCUGCAUGGCUGUCGUCAGCUCGUGUCGUGAGAUGUUGGGUUAAGUCCCGCAACGAGCGCAACCCUUGUCAUUAGUUGCUACGAAAGGGCACUCUAAUGAGACUGCCGGUGACAAACCGGAGGAAGGUGGGGAUGACGUCAAGUCCUCAUGGCCCUUAUGGGUAGGGCUUCACACGUCAUACAAUGGUACAUACGGAGCGCUGCCAACCCGCGAGGGGGAGCUAAUCGCAGAAAGUGUAUCGUAGUCCGGAUUGUAGUCUGCAACUCGACUGCAUGAAGUUGGAAUCGCUAGUAAUCGCGGAUCAGCAUGUCGCGGUGAAUACGUUCCCGGGUCUUGUACACACCGCCCGUCACACCAUGGGAGCGGGUUUUACCAGAAGUAGGUAGCUUAACCGCAAGGAGGGCGCUUACCACGGUAGGAUUCGUGACUGGGGUGAAGUCGUAACAAGGUAACCGUA
rnacentral:rRNA from 1 species